rnacentral:rRNA from 1 species
UACGAAGGGGGCUAGCGUUGCUCGGAUUGACUGGGCGUAAAGGGCGCGUAGGCGGCUUGUACAGUCAGACGUGAAAUUCCUGGGCUCAACCUGGGGGCUGCGUUUGAUACGUAUGGGCUUGAGUUCGGAAGAGGGUCGUGGAAUUCCCAGUGUAGAGGUGAAAUUCGUAGAUAUUGGGAAGAACACCGGUGGCGAAGGCGGCGACCUGGUCCGAUACUGACGCUGAGGAGCGAAAGCGUGGGGAGCGAACAGG